UACGGAGGGUGCAAGCGUUAUCCGGAUUCACUGGGUUUAAAGGGUGCGUAGGUGGGCUGGUAAGUCAGUGGUGAAAUCUCCAGGCUUAACUUGGAAACUGCCAUUGAUACUAUCAGUCUUGAAUACCGUGGAGGUCAGCGGAAUAUGUCAUGUAGCGGUGAAAUGCUUAGAUAUGACAUAGAACACCAAUUGCGAAGGCAGCUGGCUACACGAAUAUUGACACUGAUGCACGAAAAGCGUGGGGAGCAAACAGG
rnacentral:rRNA from 1 species